UAUUAUCGUAACAUAUUACCAACUGCUUACUUGUCUAUAUAAGCACGCAUGUUAACAGUAUUGUUUCAUUUUCUUACAAUUUACAAUGAACACUUCACUGAUUGUGGUGUUUGUGGUCUUCGGGACGUUUAUCAUAGCCCCAACCGUGACAGCGGAUUGCGCAAGGUUUUGUGACCCUUCUCCAUGCGCUGGCUACGUAUGUGUGUCCCAACCAAAUCUGACGUGCAGAAAUCGCAACUGCAGUUGUAUACGUUCCUGGUCUAAUGGGGCACGAAAUAUACCGUGCUUGAAAGAACAACGUAUCGAUUGAAGGCCAGCUAAUGUGGAGGUUGCAACGCAGAUUGGUACAAUGCCAAGCGUGUAAAAACAGAGUGCUUAAAUGAAAUACCGGCUAAAAUCAAACAACCGCUUAUCUAUGGAAAUUCCGAAUUACUUCAAUAAAUAAUAUAUAUCAGUA